GGCCCGUUGGUCAAGCGGUUAAGACAGCGCCCUUUCACGGCGUUAACAGGGGUUCGAAUCCCCUACGGGUCACCA
rnacentral:tRNA from 1 species